rnacentral:rRNA from 1 species
GGUUAAGCGACUAAGCGUACACGGUGGAUGCCCUGGCAGUCAGAGGCGAUGAAGGACGUGCUAAUCUGCGAUAAGCGUCGGUAAGGUGAUAUGAACCGUUAUAACCGGCGAUUUCCGAAUGGGGAAACCCAGUGUGUUUCGACACACUAUCAUUAACUGAAUCCAUAGGUUAAUGAGGCGAACCGGGGGAACUGAAACAUCUAAGUACCCCGAGGAAAAGAAAUCAACCGAGAUUCCCCCAGUAGCGGCGAGCGAACGGGGAGCAGCCCAGAGCCUGAAUCAGUGUGUGUGUUAGUGGAAGCGUCUGGAAAGGCGCGCGAUACAGGGUGACAGCCCCGUACACAAAAAUGCACAUGCUGUGAGCUCGAUGAGUAGGGCGGGACACGUGGUAUCCUGUCUGAAUAUGGGGGGACCAUCCUCCAAGGCUAAAUACUCCUGACUGACCGAUAGUGAACCAGUACCGUGAGGGAAAGGCGAAAAGAACCCCGGCGAGGGGAGUGAAAAAGAACCUGAAACCGUGUACGUACAAGCAGUGGGAGCACGCUUAGGCGUGUGACUGCGUACCUUUUGUAUAAUGGGUCAGCGACUUAUAUUCUGUAGCAAGGUUAACCGAAUAGGGGAGCCGAAGGGAAACCGAGUCUUAACUGGGCGUUAAGUUGCAGGGUAUAGACCCGAAACCCGGUGAUCUAGCCAUGGGCAGGUUGAAGGUUGGGUAACACUAACUGGAGGACCGAACCGACUAAUGUUGAAAAAUUAGCGGAUGACUUGUGGCUGGGGGUGAAAGGCCAAUCAAACCGGGAGAUAGCUGGUUCUCCCCGAAAGCUAUUUAGGUAGCGCCUCGUGAAUUCAUCUCCGGGGGUAGAGCACUGUUUCGGCAAGGGGGUCAUCCCGACUUACCAACCCGAUGCAAACUGCGAAUACCGGAGAAUGUUAUCACGGGAGACACACGGCGGGUGCUAACGUCCGUCGUGAAGAGGGAAACAACCCAGACCGCCAGCUAAGGUCCCAAAGUCAUGGUUAAGUGGGAAACGAUGUGGGAAGGCCCAGACAGCCAGGAUGUUGGCUUAGAAGCAGCCAUCAUUUAAAGAAAGCGUAAUAGCUCACUGGUCGAGUCGGCCUGCGCGGAAGAUGUAACGGGGCUAAACCAUGCACCGAAGCUGCGGCAGCGACGCUGAUGCGUUGUUGGGUAGGGGAGCGUUCUGUAAGCCUGUGAAGGUGUACUGUGAGGUAUGCUGGAGGUAUCAGAAGUGCGAAUGCUGACAUAAGUAACGAUAAAGCGGGUGAAAAGCCCGCUCGCCGGAAGACCAAGGGUUCCUGUCCAACGUUAAUCGGGGCAGGGUGAGUCGACCCCUAAGGCGAGGCCGAAAGGCGUAGUCGAUGGGAAACAGGUUAAUAUUCCUGUACUUGGUGUUACUGCGAAGGGGGGACGGAGAAGGCUAUGUUGGCCGGGCGACGGUUGUCCCGGUUUAAGCGUGUAGGCUGGUUUUCCAGGCAAAUCCGGAAAAUCAAGGCUGAGGCGUGAUGACGAGGCACUACGGUGCUGAAGCAACAAAUGCCCUGCUUCCAGGAAAAGCCUCUAAGCAUCAGGUAACAUCAAAUCGUACCCCAAACCGACACAGGUGGUCAGGUAGAGAAUACCAAGGCGCUUGAGAGAACUCGGGUGAAGGAACUAGGCAAAAUGGUGCCGUAACUUCGGGAGAAGGCACGCUGAUAUGUAGGUGAAGUCCCUCGCGGAUGGAGCUGAAAUCAGUCGAAGAUACCAGCUGGCUGCAACUGUUUAUUAAAAACACAGCACUGUGCAAACACGAAAGUGGACGUAUACGGUGUGACGCCUGCCCGGUGCCGGAAGGUUAAUUGAUGGGGUUAGCGCAAGCGAAGCUCUUGAUCGAAGCCCCGGUAAACGGCGGCCGUAACUAUAACGGUCCUAAGGUAGCGAAAUUCCUUGUCGGGUAAGUUCCGACCUGCACGAAUGGCGUAAUGAUGGCCAGGCUGUCUCCACCCGAGACUCAGUGAAAUUGAACUCGCUGUGAAGAUGCAGUGUACCCGCGGCAAGACGGAAAGACCCCGUGAACCUUUACUAUAGCUUGACACUGAACAUUGAGCCUUGAUGUGUAGGAUAGGUGGGAGGCUUUGAAGUGUGGACGCCAGUCUGCAUGGAGCCGACCUUGAAAUACCACCCUUUAAUGUUUGAUGUUCUAACGUUGACCCGUAAUCCGGGUUGCGGACAGUGUCUGGUGGGUAGUUUGACUGGGGCGGUCUCCUCCUAAAGAGUAACGGAGGAGCACGAAGGUUGGCUAAUCCUGGUCGGACAUCAGGAGGUUAGUGCAAUGGCAUAAGCCAGCUUGACUGCGAGCGUGACGGCGCGAGCAGGUGCGAAAGCAGGUCAUAGUGAUCCGGUGGUUCUGAAUGGAAGGGCCAUCGCUCAACGGAUAAAAGGUACUCCGGGGAUAACAGGCUGAUACCGCCCAAGAGUUCAUAUCGACGGCGGUGUUUGGCACCUCGAUGUCGGCUCAUCACAUCCUGGGGCUGAAGUAGGUCCCAAGGGUAUGGCUGUUCGCCAUUUAAAGUGGUACGCGAGCUGGGUUUAGAACGUCGUGAGACAGUUCGGUCCCUAUCUGCCGUGGGCGCUGGAGAACUGAGGGGGGCUGCUCCUAGUACGAGAGGACCGGAGUGGACGCAUCACUGGUGUUCGGGUUGUCAUGCCAAUGGCACUGCCCGGUAGCUAAAUGCGGAAGAGAUAAGUGCUGAAAGCAUCUAAGCACGAAACUUGCCCCGAGAUGAGUUCUCCCUGACCCUUUAAGGGUCCUGAAGGAACGUUGAAGACGACGACGUUGAUAGGCCGGGUGUGUAAGCGCAGCGAUGCGUUGAGCUAACCGGUACUAAUGAACCGUGAGGCUUAACCUU